rnacentral:rRNA from 1 species
UACGAAGGGGGCGAGCGUUGUUCGGAAUUACUGGGCGUAAAGGGCGCGUAGGCGGCCCCUUUUGUCGCGUGUGAAAGCCCCCGGGCUCAGCCCGGGAAGUCGCGCUCGAAACUGCGCGGCUCGAGUGCCGGAGGGGAGAGUGGAAUUCCUGGUGUAGCGGUGAAAUGCGUAGAUAUCAGGAGGAAUACCGGUGGCGAAAGCGACUCUCUGGACGGCAACUGACGCUGAGGCACGAAAGCGUGGGGAGCAAACAGG